rnacentral:rRNA from 1 species
UACGUAGGGUGCGAGCGUUAAUCGGAAUUACUGGGCGUAAAGGGUGCGCAGGCGGCGCCAUAAGACAGCUGUGAAAUCCCCGGGCUUAACCUGGGAACUGCGGUUGUGACUGUGGUGCUUGAGUGCGGCAGAGGGGGGUGGAAUUCCACGUGUAGCAGUGAAAUGCGUAGAGAUGUGGAGGAACACCGAUGGCGAAGGCAGCCCCCUGGGUCGACACUGACGCUCAUGCACGAAAGCGUGGGGAGCAAACAGG